CCUACGGGAGGCAGCAGUGGGGGAUAUUGCACAAUGGGGGGAACCCUGAUGCAGCGACGCCGCGUGGGUGAAGGAGUAGUUCGGUAUGUAAAGCCCUAUCGGCAGGGAAGAAGCAAGACGGUACCUGACUAAGAAGCCCCGGCUAACUACGUGCCAGCAGCGGCGGUAAUACGUAGGGGGCGAGCGUAAUCCGGAUUCACUGGGUGUAAAGGGAGCGUAGACGGCCAUGCAAGCCAGGGGUGAAAGCCCGGGGCCCAACCCCGGGACUGCCCUUGGAACUGCAGGGCUGGAGUGCGGGAGGGGCAGGCGGAAUUCCUGGUGUAGCGGUGAAAUGCGUAGAUAUCAGGAGGAACACCGGCGGCGAAGGCGGCCUGCUGGACCGCGACUGACGUUGAGGCUCGAAAGCGUGGGGAGCGAACAGGAUUAGAUACCCCAGUAGUC
rnacentral:rRNA from 1 species